rnacentral:rRNA from 1 species
UACGUAGGGUGCGAGCGUUGUCCGGAAUUAUUGGGCGUAAAGGGCUCGUAGGCGGUCUGUCGCGUCGGGAGUGAAAACUCAGGGCUUAACCCUGAGCCUGCUUCCGAUACGGGCAGACUAGAGGUAUGCAGGGGAGAACGGAAUUCCUGGUGUAGCGGUGGAAUGCGCAGAUAUCAGGAGGAACACCGGUGGCGAAGGCGGUUCUCUGGGCGUUACCUGACGCUGAGGAGCGAAAGUGUGGGGAGCGAACAGG